rnacentral:rRNA from 1 species
UACGUAGGCAGCAAGCGUUGUUCGGAGUUACUGGGCGUAAAGGGUGUGUAGGCGGUUGUUUAAGUUUGGUGUGAAAUCUCCCGGCUCAACUGGGAGGGUGCGCCGAAUACUGAAUGACUAGAGUGCGGGAGAGGAAAGUGGAAUUCCUGGUGUAGCGGUGAAAUGCGUAGAUAUCAGGAGGAACACCGGUGGUGUAGACGGCUCGCUGGGACGGUACUGACGCUGAGGCGCGAAAGCGUGGGGAGCAAACAGG